CUUUUUAAAGCUUAAUUAGUAAAGUGUUUCAUUUACAUUGAAAGGAAAUUUGUGCAAUUCAAUUUAAAAAGAUAAAAUUUAUUUAUUAAUAUUUUUAUUAAUUAUUUUUGUUUAAUAAAAAUAAUUUUUUUUUAAAAGUUUUUGUAGAGUAUAUUGAAAAAAUAAUUUUUAUUAUAGUUUAAUUGUAUUGUAAAAGAUUAUUGAAAUAAUUUGAAAAAUUUUUAUUUUAAAAGAAAAUUUAAUUAAUUGUACCUUGUGUAUCAGGGUUUAUUAAAUAAAAAUUUAUUAUAGUAAAUUUUCUCGAUUUUAAGAGAGUUAAUAAAUUAUUAUAGUUAAUGUGGAAUAAUUAUUAUAAAUGAUUUAUUAGAAAUGAAACGUUAUUCGUUCUUAAAUAUAUCUAGUUUUUUAAGAAAUAAAUUUAAUUUAUAUAUAAAUUAUUAAUAAUUUAUUUUGUUAAUUUAUUAAUGUGAUUUAUAUAAAUAUUUUAGGGGAUAAGCUUUAAAAUAAAUUAUUAUAUAAAAUUUAAAAUUUUAUAAAAUAUAGGCUUGAAAUUAGCCAUUAUUUAAGAUAAUGUUAUAAUUUAUUUAAUUUGUAUUUUAUUUUUUUUAUUAUUAAGUUUUUAUUAAAAUUUUUGUAAUAAUUUUAAUUAUAAAUAAAUAAUGAUAAAAUUAGUAUAUAAAUAUGUAAAAAUUAAAUUUAAUUGAAAGGUUUAUUUAAGGAAUUCGGCAAAAAUUAAUAUUCGCCUGUUUAACAAAAACAUGUCUUUUUGUAUUUAAUAAAAAGUUUGACCUGCCCACUGAAUUUAAAUUAAAUGGCCGCGGUAUUUUGACCGUGCAAAGGUAGCAUAAUCAUUAGUUUUUUAAUUGAAAGCUUGUAUGAAUGGUUGGACGAAAUAUUAACUGUCUUAAAUGAAAUUUUAUAGAAUUUUACUUUUUAGUUAAAAGGCUAAAAUUUAAUUGGAGGACGAGAAGACCCUAUAAAUCUUUAUAAUAAUUUUAUAUUAUUUAUUUAGAAAUUUUAGAAUUUUAUAAAAAAUUAUUAUUUUGUUGGGGUGACAAUAAGAUUUAAAAAACUUUUAUAUUUUUGUUCAUUGAUAUAUGAAAAUUUGAUCCAUUUUUAAUGAUUAUAAAUUUAAGUUACUUUAGGGAUAACAGCGUAAUUUUUUUUGAGAGUUCUUAUCGACAGAAAAGAUUGCGACCUCGAUGUUGGAUUAAGAAUUAUUUUUAGGUGCAGUAGUUUAAAGUUUAGGUCUGUUCGACCUUUAGAUUCUUACAUGAUCUGAGUUCAAACCGGUGUAAGCCAGGUUGGUUUCUAUCCUCAAUUAAUUAAAAUAUUUUAGUACGAAAGGACCGGAUAUUUAAAAAAUAAUUUUUUUUAAAAAAAUUAGAAUAUUAUUAAAAUUGAUAA
rnacentral:rRNA from 1 species